rnacentral:rRNA from 1 species
AUUGAACGCUAGCGGGUUGCUUUACACAUGCAAGUCGAACGAGUGGCGGACGGGUGAGUAAUAUAUCGGAACGUGCCCAGUAGCGGGGGAUAACUACUCGAAAGAGUGGCUAAUACCGCAUAUUAUUGGAGCGGCCGAUAUCGGUGUAGCCAGUUGGUGGGGUAAAGGCUCACCAAGGCAACGAUCCGUAGCUGGUUUUAGAGGACGACCAGCCGCACUGGGACUGAGACACGGCCCAGACUCCUACGGGAGGCAGCAGUAGGGAAUGUGGGGCAAUGGGGGGAACCCUGAUCCAGCCGUGCCGCGUGUAUGAGAAGGCCUUCGGGUUGUAAAGUACUUUUGGCAGAGAAGCGGUAUCUGCAGAAUAAGCACCGGCUAACUACGUGCCAGCCGCCGCGGUAAUUC